GACGAACGCUGGCGGCGUGCUUAACACAUGCAAGUCGAACGGAAAGGCCCUGCUUUUGUGGGGUGCUCGAGUGGCGAACGGGUGAGUAACACGCGAGUAACAUGCCCUUGACUUUGGGAUAACUUCUGGAAACUGGGGCUAAUACCGGAUAGGAGCUCUUGCUGCAUGGUGGGGGUUGGAAAGUUUCGGCGGUUGGGGAUGGUCUCGCGGCUUAUCAGCUUGUUGGUGGGGUAGUGGCUUACCAGGGCUGUGACGGGUAGCCGGCCUGGGAGGGUGACCGGCCACAAGGGGACUGAGAGACGGACCAGACGCCUACGGGAGGCAGCAGUGGGGAAUAUUGCACAGUGGGGGGAAGCCUGAUGCAGCAGCGCCGCGUGCGGGAUGACGGCCUUCGGGUUGUAAACCGCUUUCGCCUGUGACGAAGCGUGAGUGACGGUAAUGGGUAAGGAAGCACCGGCUAACUACGUG
rnacentral:rRNA from 1 species